rnacentral:rRNA from 1 species
AUUGAACGCUGGCGGCAGGCCUAACACAUGCAAGUCGAACGGUAACAGAAAGCAGCUUGCUGCUUUGCUGACGAGUGGCGGACGGGUGAGUAAUGUCUGGGAAACUGCCUGAUGGAGGGGGAUAACUACUGGAAACGGUAGCUAAUACCGCAUAACGUCGCAAGACCAAAGAGGGGGACCUUCGGGCCUCUUGCCAUCGGAUGUGCCCAGAUGGGAGUAGCUAGUAGGUGGGGUAACGGCUCACCUAGGCGACGAUCCCUAGCUGGUCUGAGAGGAUGACCAGCCACACUGGAACUGAGACACGGUCCAGACGCCUACGGGAGGCAGCAGUGGGGAAUAUUGCACAAUGGGCGCAAGCCUGAUGCAGCCAUGCCGCGUGUAUGAAGAAGGCCUUCGGGUUGUAAAGUACUUUCAGCGGGGAGGAAGGGAGUAAAGUUAAUACCUUGGCUCAUUGACGUUACCCGCAGAAGAAGCACCGGCUAACUCCGUG